GCCUCCGCUGCGGGGACGCCGCGCUUUGGAAGCCUUCCCGGAGCGCGCGGGGGUGCUGGUGCAGGUCGGGCGAUUACAUGCGGACACUUCACUUUCAGCCAUGCCUGCCCCGGGAGCUCUCUGUCUGCUACUGAACCCAAACAUCAUCAGAGCCACAUGGUUUUGUUAAGCUACUGGAAAUAACUUUUGCCUGGGAUUUACUGCAGCAUUCCCUCCCGGCCUGGCCCCUGCGGACUCCAGCAGGCUCACUGCCUAACAGUUACGAAGACUCCUCGAUGCGUUUCAUGUGACCUUUGGGCAGACCGUGGAGCUUUCUAUUUUAUUUUGUGAGGCCUUGAGUCGGGAUCUUCUUAACGUGUGCUUGGAAGUGGUCAUACCGGAACUCGGGCACGCACAGAAAUAGUGCGAGGGAAACCAGAUACGCCGUAACUUUCUGCCUGAUACCUGUUGGGCUUCGUGUCUAAACUUUGGUAGUGUUUGGGGUCCUUUUUUUUUUUCCUGGAAACUUCCAACCAUGAAGAGGAGCUCUGUGUUCUAUUAAUUAUCUUUUAGAACUGUACCCGGAAUCAGACUGUGAGCAUGGAUUUCUAAGGGAAAAGUGAAGCUGAUCUCCAAACUUGAAUGAAGUGCUUCUGGUAUGAGGAAGAUGGAAGGGAUCAACUCCAUUUGGAAGGGAAUGGUACUGGAGCAAACCUUCUUGUCGCCAUAAAUUCAAGGAAUACCGCCUGCCUAAUUUCUGGGAAGGAUACCAAUCGGUGCAGAUAACAUUAAGGUUGUGCUGUGGGAAAUGCUAGCAAGAAGGUGAGGUGUUUCUCGAGGGUAUUUGGGAUGGAUGUUUUGAACCUCUGGAUCUUCCUAACUUUUGGCCAGGAGACAGGAGGCCUCCACAUCCGCGGGGAGACCUCCCCGUGCCUCAUCUCCGUGGGACCGAGGAGUUCCUAAUGCUCCUUGCGCACCAAAACUGACUUCUUGCUUGCAACCUGUUUUGCUGAUCCUUCUGGAUUUAUCUGCCGGAGGAGAGACUCACAA